GAUGACCAUAGCGAGUUGGUACCACCCCUUCCCAUCCCGAACAGGACCGUGAAACGACUCUGCGCCAAUGAUAGUGCUGCAACCAGUGUGAAAGUAGGUUAUUGUCA
rnacentral:rRNA from 1 species